rnacentral:rRNA from 1 species
AAAGCAUCUAAGCAUGAAGCCCCCCUCAAGAUGAGAUUUCCCAACUUCGGUUAUAAGAUCCCUCAAAGAUGAUGAGGUUAAUAGGUUCGAGGUGGAAGCGUGGCGACACGUGGAGCUGACGAAUACUAAUCGAUCGAAGACUUAAUCAA